rnacentral:rRNA from 1 species
GCGCUGCUAUCAUGCAGUCGAGCGACUGAUUAGAAGCUUGCUUCUAUGACGUUAGCGGCGGACGGGUGAGUAACACGUGGGCAACCUGCCUGUAAGACUGGGAUAACUUCGGGAAACCGAAGCUAAUACCGGAUAGGAUCUUCUCCUUCAUGGGAGAUGAUUAAAAGAUGGUUUCGGCUAUCACUUACAGAUGGGCCCGCGGUGCAUUAGCUAGUUGGUGAGGUAACGGCUCACCAAGGCAACGAUGCAUAGCCGACCUGAGAGGGUGAUCGGCCACACUGGGACUGAGACACGGCCCAGACUCCUACGGGAGGCAGCAGUAGGGAAUCUUCCGCAAUGGACGAAAGUCUGACGGAGCAACGCCGCGUGAGUGAUGAAGGCUUUCGGGUCGUAAAACUCUGUUGUUAGGGAAGAACAAGUACGAGAGUAACUGCUCGUACCUUGACGGUACCUAACCAGAAAGCCACGGCUAACUACGUGCCAGCAGCCGCGGUAAUACGUAGGUGGCAAGCGUUAUCCGGAAUUAUUGGGCGUAAAGCGCGCGCAGGCGGUUUCUUAAGUCUGAUGUGAAAGCCCACGGCUCAACCGUGGAGGGUCAUUGGAAACUGGGGAACUUGAGUGCAGAAGAGAAAAGCGGAAUUCCACGUGUAGCGGUGAAAUGCGUAGAGAUGUGGAGGAACACCAGUGGCGAAGGCGGCUUUUUGGUCUGUAACUGACGCUGAGGCGCGAAAGCGUGGGGAGCAAACAGGAUUAGAUACCCUGGUAGUCCACGCCGUAAACGAUGAGUGCUAAGUGUUAGAGGGUUUCCGCCCUUUAGUGCUGCAGUUAACGCAUUAAGCACUCCGCCUGG